GGGAAGUGUGAUACAUGGUUACGUGUGAGUUGUCAUGUGACCGUCACCUGAUCUUCCUAGAUUAUCACACCUUCUGAUGACUGUAAUGAUUCCAGAAAACAUUACAGACAGAUACGAGGUGGACACUG